ensembl:ncRNA C38C5.3 ncRNA
AAUAAGGUCUGAUUGCCACUUAGGGCACGUUCUGUGAGAAUGUGGCACCGAGAUGAAGAGCCCGAGCCUUUUUCUGGUAUGGCAUGAAAGAAAAGAAUUGACACAUCGCUUGCGCUUAUUUCCGGAUUCUCCCCCGGGAGCGGCCCUCUC